UAGGGAAUCUUCGGCAAUGGGGGCAACCCUGACCGAGCAACGCCGCGUGAGUGAAGAAGGUUUUCGGAUCGUAAAGCUCUGUUGUAAGAGAAGAACGUGUGUGAGAGUGGAAAGUUCACACAGUGACGGUAACUUACCAGAAAGGGACGGUCUAACUACGUGCUAG
rnacentral:rRNA from 1 species